rnacentral:rRNA from 1 species
AGUUAGUGGCGGACGGGUGAGUAACGCGUGGGUAACCUGCCUUACACAGGGGGAUAACACUUAGAAAUAGGUGCUAAAACCGCAUAAGCGCACAGCUUCGCAUGAAGCGGUGUGAAAAACUCCGGUGGUGUAAGAUGGACCCGCGUCUGAUUAGCUUGUUGGCGGGGUAACGGCCCACCAAGGCGACGAUCAGUAGCCGGCCUGAGAGGGCGGACGGCCACAUUGGGACUGAGACACGGCCCAGACUCCUACGGAAGGCAGCAG